rnacentral:rRNA from 1 species
UACGUAGGGGGCAAGAGUUGUCCGGAUUUAUUGGGCGUAAAGAGCGUGUAGGCGGCCAGGCCGGUCCGUUGUGAAAACUGAAGGCUCAACCUUCAGAGGUCGAUGGAAACCGCCUGGCUAGAGUCCGGAAGAGGAGAGUGGAAUUCCUGGUGUAGCGGUGAAAUGCGCAGAUAUCAGGAAGAACACCCGUGGCGAAGGCGGCUCUCUGGGACGGUACUGACGCUGAGACGCGAAAGCGUGGGGAGCGAACAGG